GGGGGAGUGGCGCGGCCGUAGCUCCGUUUCCGGUGGCUCGUAGCGCUCGCUCACUCCAGCUGCAGCCACUCUUGCCCGUGGCUGCUUCCUCCAUCCUGGUAUUUUUUGGAGCCUCCAUCCUGGUUCUUCCAAAGUGCCCGGACCCAAAACAGGAAGGUGUUGCAGAGGUAGGAUGAGUGAGAAACAAUCUGGAUAACAUGAAAGUGAUGCUGGUGGCUAAGAGAAAGCGACUUGAUUCUGUGGGAAGGGCUAUAGCUGAUCCAUCUGUUUUCUAGAUUUGAGUAUGAGCACAGUUGAAGAGGAUUCUGACACAGUAACAGUAGAAACUGUGAACUCUGUGACCUUGACUCGGGACACAGACGGGAACCUCAUUCUUCAUUGCCCUCAGAAUGAAGCUGAUGAAAUAGACUCAGAAGAUAGUACUGAACCUCCACAUAAAAGGCUUUGUCUGUCUUCUGAGGAUGAUCAAAGUAUUGAUGAUUCCACUCCUUGCAUAUCAGUUGUUGCACUUCCACUUUCAGAGAAUGAUCAGAGCUUUGAGGUGACCAUGACUGCAACCACAGAGGUGGCAGAUGAUGAGAUUACUGAGGGAACUGUGACACAGAUCCAGAUUCUACAGAAUGAGCAACUAGAUGAAAUAUCUCCCUUGGGUAAUGAGGAAGUUUCAGCCGUUAGCCAAGCCUGGUUUACAACUAAAGAAGAUAAGGAUUCUCUGACUAAUAAAGGCCAUAAAUGGAAGCAGGGGAUGUGGUCCAAGGAAGAAAUUGAUAUUUUGAUGAACAAUAUUGAACGCUAUUUGAAGGCACGCGGAAUAAAAGAUGCUACAGAAAUCAUCUUUGAGAUGUCAAAAGACGAAAGAAAAGAUUUCUACAGGACUAUAGCAUGGGGUCUGAACCGGCCUUUGUUUGCAGUUUAUAGAAGAGUGCUUCGCAUGUAUGAUGACAGAAACCAUGUGGGAAAAUAUACACCAGAAGAAAUUGAAAAGCUCAAGGAGUAAGUUUUAACUUUAUUUUCAUUAAUUUUGAUAGUUGAGUUUUAGUUUUUUUAAAUAUCUUAUGUUUUGUAAAGAUUUACUUGGAAAAUGUCAAGGGAUUUUUGGUAGACUGGUAUAAUUUGAUCCUGCUGGUAAACAUAGUUGACUGUAAAAAGAACUUGUCAGAUCUGUCCCUGCACAGAGUAGCCAUGCCCAUAAGUGUAGUCUUCGUCUUGUCAGCCACCAAAUGAAAUGCAUCCUUAGACUACUAAUGGGGAUUUCAAAAGAGAUUAAUUCGAUGGUCAUUCUUGGUGGCCUGAAGAAUAAAUUUGGGGGGCUUACAUACCAGGAUCAAAACCAGGUGUGCUACAUGGCUUAGUUUAGAAUGGUGAGUUGGCAGAUGUUUCACUGACUGUCUAGGCUGACUCUACCUUACAAAGUUUAUUUUGCAGGAAACAUAAUUUUGGGACCAUUAAGUGUGGGUUAAUGGAUUGUAUGGAUCAUGAAAAAAAAUUGAAGGCUGAUCCUGUUUAUGAUGAUAAAAACUUGUGAAACUUUUUCAGAUGUCUGAGAAGAGCGUGUUAGGAGGACUCAAAAGGGAAAAAUCUGGGGAUUGCCUGGGAGAUUGUGUCAAUAACCUGAGGGGAAAUUCGGGUCUUUUUUGAACACAUAUCCAAGUUACUUAUUUCUUCUCUGACCCAGGAAAAAGGCAAUUGCUGCCUGUUUUUUUUCACCCACAGACAACUGUGGACCCCCCAAAAAGGCCACACUUUCAAACUUUGGCUCUCAAAGUAUUGCUGCCCACAACUUCCAAACCAGUCAAAUGGGAAGAAGAAGAAUGAAGAAUAAAUGAUGAAAUUAAAAGGGAGAAAACAGUUGAACCAAAUGCUGAUUGGCAGACUCUUGUUUUAGGCUCCGGAUAAAGCAUGGCAAUGACUGGGCAACAAUAGGGGCGGCGCUAGGAAGGAGUGCAUCUUCCGUCAAGGAUCGGUGCCGACUGAUGAAGGACACUUGCAACACAGGAAAGUGGACAGAAGAAGAAGAAAAAAGGCUUGCAGAAGUGGUUCAUGAAUUGACAAGCACUGAGCCGGGUGACAUAGUCACACAGGGUGUGUCUUGGGCAGCUGUGGCAGAACGAGUGGGUACCCGCUCAGAAAAGCAGUGUCGUUCUAAGUGGCUCAACUACCUGAACUGGAAACAGAGUGGAGGUACUGAGUGGACCAAGGAAGAUGAAAUCAAUCUCAUUCUCAGUGGAUUUAGUGCUCGUAUAAAGUACCAGAUUGAAGGCGUGGAGACUGAAGUCCUCUAUAUCCACAGAACAGGAUAGCAGAACUUGAUGUAGCUGAUGAAAAUGACAUAAACUGGGAUCUGUUAGCAGAGGGAUGGAGCAGUGUCCGUUCACCACAGUGGCUUCGAAGUAAAUGGUGGACCAUCAAAAGACAAAUUGCAAACCAUAAGGAUGUUUCAUUCCCUGGUAAUAUAUUAUUUGCUUCUUAAGCCCUUCCCUUAUCUUAUCGUAUUUAGUCCUCAGGAAUUAGACGUCAGAAGUCCUUUUACUCAACUGAGGAGAUAUGAAUUAUAGUAGAUACUCACUUCAACUUCUGCUCUAUUUCUUUGGGUAACGGUCUUCCCUUGGGUAAUUUGCAAGCACCUAAGAUGGAAGUACACAUUUACACACUUUGUUGCCCUUCACACAAAUACGAAGAAAUUAAUUUUAAAUAUGUAUUUUCACUGUAUAAAAAAGAUGUAUCUCUGGAAGUUCCCUUAUGGCACAGAAGGUUAAGGAUACAAUAUUACUGCAGUGGUGGUACAGGCUGCAGCUGUGGCACAGGUUGGAUCCCUGCCACAGCUGCAGCCCCCAAAAAAAUGUAUUUCUAAAAACUUAGUAUUGAAUCAACUUCUAUAAAUAAUUUUGAGUAUCUUAACUUGGUUUCUUAUUUAGAGAAAUUCUGUGAUUUAUUUUGUAGAACAAAGACUUAAGUUUUUAAUUUCAUUUGUUAUAUAAAUCUAGAGAUCCUAGUUUUGCUUAAAAGUGAGGCACAGCAUACUUUCCACUUCACUGUCUGCUUUGCACUUAGGCAUGGAACUAAGUUAUACAGUCUGAUUUAGGUAAUCAGAUUCACUCCCAUUGGUAUAGUGCUCCAACCUCCAUUUUUGCAAAGGAAAAUUAAAUUCUGAAGAACUUUGGCUUGAUGAAAAUGUUAUUUUUUUCCUUUAAUACCCAGUUGUAAGUUUAUUUUACAUUUACAACAUUAUAAAUUCUGGUAUAAUAUAGAGUGAAUGAGGAGUUCCCAUCAUAGCUCAGCAGUAAUGAACCCGACUGGAAUCUAUGAGGACACAGGUUCAAUCCUUGGCCUUGAACAGUGGGUCAGGGAUCUGGCAUUGCCAUGAGCUGUGAUGUAGGUUCGUGUGGCUUGGAUCCUGCAUUGCUGUAACUAGUAUAGGCCAGUGGCUACAUCUCUGAUUAGACCCCUACCCCGGGAACUUCCAUAUGCCGCAGGUGCCGCCCUCAAAAGAUAAACAAAAAAAUAAGUGAAUGAAUACUAAGGUAACAUGAACCCAGCCAGACUGCAGCAUCACCUGAGGGGGUCUAAUAGUUUAUCAUGAUUAAUAGAGGAGUUGGCUUUCCUGUUUGAGAACUCAAGGUGGUUGCAUAUUACUCUUUGGAAAAGCUCACCUGCUACUCUGGAGUUUUAAGUUAGACUCACAGACUCACUGAUUAUGCCCUUGUUGUAGCUAAAACAGUCAAGUACCUUUUGAGGCCUGGGGGUCGGAGGAGUACACUAUUCAUUGCUAAAUGAAAAUAAGCUACUUAGUAUUACCAAUAGUUUUCCUAAAUACUAAGAAUUUUAUCAGGAAGCCCUAGGACCCAGGAAAUGUUUUAUUUCCAUGUUCCUCACAAUGGUUAUUAAUGUACCUUAGAUGGUAAGAACAAUAUUAUUUUAUGAACUUUUUAAAUAUGUUUUGAUGUAUAUAACAUUCCCAAAAAUUUCCAGAUAGGUUGUAGUUUUAAAAUAUUUUUAUUGUUAUUUUGAUAAGAUCUCACAUCCAGUAUACAAUCAUUUAUUCCAAAUACUUUCCCUCCUUACCCCCCCCCCACCUCCCUUGCUGCUCAGAUGGUGGUCUGUCGGAGAAUCAAUGUUCUUUUUGUCUACCCAUCUCCCUUCAGUCUUGAUAAAAGGUCUUAAACAGUUACAUGAGAAUCAAAAAAACAACCCAACGCUGUUGGAGAAUAAACCAGGAUCUGGAGUUCCAAACAGUAAUUCCAGUUCCAGCGUACAGCAUGUUCAGAUCAGAGUCGCCCGCUUGGAAGACAAUGCGGCCAUCUCUCCCAGCCCCAUGACAGCCCUGCAGAUUCCAGUCCAGAUCACCCACGUCUCUUCAGCAGACUCCCCUGCUGCUACUGUUGACUCGGAAACAAUAACACUAAACAGUGGAACACUACAGACAUUUGAAAUUCUUCCAUCUUUCCAUUUACAGCCCACUGGCACUCCAGGCACCUACCUACUUCAGACAAGCUCAAGCCAGGGCCUUCCCCUAACUCUGACUGCUAGUCCCACAGUCACCCUGACAGCUGCUGCUCCUGCAUCUCCUGAACAGAUCAUUGUUCAUGCUUUAUCUGUAUGUUACCUUUUGUGCAUGCUUUAUCUUAGGUUACCUUCCUUGAUUUUUCUAGUUUCUGUAGAAGAGACUGGCUAAGAAGUGUCACUGGAAAAAGAACUGAUGUCCCUUCCAAAACAGUAUCUUGGGGGAGGGGAAGAGAUAUAUUUUGAGCUCAGUUCAAGGACUUGAGUACUUGUUAAGGACCAGGAGUAGUUGAUGCAACCAAAGGAGCCAAUACUAAUGUAGUCCAUUUAUUUAAACAUUUGGAUUCUUCCUACCACUGUUGUCCCAGGAGCAGUGUUUUACAUCUUCACUGGAGUACAUCCCUCAUCUGUGUCUUCUCGCAUGAGAUGAGCUUAUAUUAGGGAAAAGGGGGCUAUGAGGAGAGCAGAGGCCCCAGUCGGUAAGGAAUAGGGGCUCUAGAGAAACAGCGAUAAUAAGUACACUGCAGUUCCAGAGGUGAGAGGCAUGGAAGGGACAGGAGGGUACCACCUAUGUCAUUUGCUGUCUAUAUAUAACUUUAGGCUGGUAGGUGCUUUUUCAUUUGAUAUUGAUCAUUCUCUUUAACAUUUUAUAGCCAGAACAUCUGUUGAACACAAGUGACAACGUCACAGUGCAGUGUCACACACCAAGAGUCAUCAUUCAGACAGUCGCUACAGAGGACAUCACUUCUUCCAUAUCCCAAGCAGAACUGACCGUGGAUAGUGAUAUUCACUCAUCGGAUUUUCCUGAGCCUCCAGAUGCACUAGAAGCAGACACUUUCCCAGAUGAAAUUCAUCAGCCUAAGAUUACUGUAGAGCCAUCAUUUAAUGAUGCUCAUAUAUCCAAAUUCAGUGACCAAAAUAGCACAGAACUGAUGAACAGUGUUAUGGUCAGGACAGAAGAAGAAAUCUCUGACAGCGACCUUAAACAAGAAGACGCACCCUCUCCUCUAGCCCGGGCUUAUGUUACUGAGGAUUUAGAGUCUCCUACCAUAGAAGAACAAGUUGAUCAAACAACAAUUGAUGAUGAAACGAUACUUAUCGUUCCUUCACCACAUGGCUUUAUCCAGACAUCUGAUGUUAUAGAUACUGAAUCUGUCUUGCCUUUGACAACACUAACAGAUCCCAUACUCCAGCAUCAUCGAGAAGAAUCAAACAUCAUUGGAUCAUCACUGGGCAGUCCUGUUUCAGAAGACUCUAAAGAUGUUGAGGAUUUGGUAAACUGUCAUUAGGUAAUUCUUAGAAACAGGUAGUUCAGGCAAAGAAGCCACACUGUCAAUUACAACAUCUCCAAAGAAGUAAGAGCAACCCCAAGAGGCUUAAUUUACCAUUCCUCUGGCUUUUAAAUAGCUACAGUGCUUAAGCCACAUACAGUGUUGCUGCUCUGACCUUUUACCUCCUUUAAAUAUAUCGUCUGAGGUCUAAUCUUCUGACAGUGUGUUGCUGAGUGGAGCACCGGGGUCUUAACUGCAGAGAUCUCAAUGAUUAGUGUUAUUUGUCAGCGGGGAAUUUCAUUCACUUUAGCUGAGAAAAGUUUAAGAUCACCAAAGCUUAACUACUGUUUUUAAAGCAGUAAGGUUUAUCUCUAAAGACCAGAUACGGCCCUCUAACCAGUCUCUAGUAGGCCUGUUUAUAUUUCAGAGAAGUCACAUCAACAUGGUAUAGAGCUUACCAGUGAACUUCUCCACAGAGAUUCACAUUUUAAAGAAGUUUGAGACCUGAGGUGAUUUUGUGGUGGUUACUUUUGCUUUACCCAUUGCUGGCAGUGGGAGCUGAUUUGGGCCGGAUAAAGAGGAAAGCAUUAAGAGUUAAGAAAAUUCACUACAGGUUUCUUUUAUAACUUUUAAAGGGACUAUGGGUGACAGUAGUAAAACAAAAAUUCAGCAGAAGCUGAGUUUUCACCCUCUCAGAACCCACUGUCAUCAGUUUACAAAGUUAGCACUUUGAAGUAAAACUAAAUGAGAAAGGAAGUAGAGUUGCCUAUCCUAUACCAUGACCUUUUCUCCCAUGUUUUACAUAUAAAUUGCCCAGGAAAUAGUUGAGGAGAGUAUAGUAUCAAAGUUUGCCGUUCACUUAGUGCAUUAACUGGUGGGGAUGUGAUACAACUUCUCCCGCAGGCAAUUUUUAAAAAAUUUACUUCUGUAAUGAAAGGAAACAAAUCAAGAGUCAUUCCUGUACUAGCGAAGGUUAAGCCAAAAUUAGCCUCUAGGGCUUUAAUGAAUAUGACCCCUAUAGAAAAGUCACAAAAAAAAAAAAAAACUUGUAUAAAUUAUUUUAUUUAUUAUUGUAAUUAGAUCUACACAAUCAAAGUUGUCUUUUCACCGUCUGUGUUUUGUUAAUGUGAAAUUAAAUUGUAGUUAUAAGCAAAAGUGGUUGCCUAGGGAACAAUAAUUGUAUAUUCAAUUUAACAGAAAUAAAAUAAUAUUUGUCUUAAAA